UACGUAGGUGGCAAGCGUUGUCCGGAAUUAUUGGGCGUAAAGCGCGCGCAGGCGGCCUCUUAAGUCUGAUGUGAAAAGCCCCCCGGCUCAACCGGGGAGGGCCAUUGGAAACUGGGAGGCUUGAGUAUAGGAGAGAAGAGUGGAAUUCCACGUGUAGCGGUGAAAUGCGUAGAGAUGUGGAGGAACACCAGUGGCGAAGGCGACUCUUUGGCCUAUAACUGACGCUGAGGCGCGAAAGCGUGGGGAGCGAACAGG
rnacentral:rRNA from 1 species